GAGUUUGAUCUUGGCUCAGGAUGAACGCUGGCGGCGUGCCUAAUACAUGCAAGUCGAGCGAACGGACGAGAAGCUUGCUUCUCUGAUGUUAGCGGCGGACGGGUGAGUAACACGUGGAUAACCUACCUAUAAGACUGGGAUAACUUCGGGAAACCGGAGCUAAUACCGGAUAAUAUUUUGAACCGCAUGGUUCAAAAGUGAAAGACGGUCUUGCUGUCACUUAUAGAUGGAUCCGCGCUGCAUUAGCUAGUUGGUAAGGUAACGGCUUACCAAGGCAACGAUGCAUAGCCGACCUGAGAGGGUGAUCGGCCACACUGGAACUGAGACACGGUCCAGACUCCUACGGGAGGCAGCAGUAGGGAAUCUUCCGCAAUGGGACGAAAGCCUGACGGAGCAACGCCGCGUGAGUGAUGAAGGUCUUCGGAUACGUAAAACUCUGUUAUUAGGGAAGAACAUAUGUGUAAGUAACUGCGCACAUC
rnacentral:rRNA from 1 species